rnacentral:rRNA from 1 species
AGCGGGAAAAGCUCAAAUUUAAAAUCUGGCGGUCUUUAGCCGUCCGAGUUGUAGUCUGGAGAAGUGCUUUCCGCGCUGGACCGUGUAUAAGUCUCUUGGAACAGAGCGUCGUAGAGGGUGAGAAUCCCGUCUUUGACACGGACUACCAGUGCUUUGUGAUGCGCUCUCAAAGAGUCGAGUUGUUUGGGAAUGCAGCUCAAAAUGGGUGGUGAAUUCCAUCUAAAGCUAAAUAUUGGCGAGAGACCGAUAGCGAACAAGUACCGUGAGGGAAAGAUGAAAAGCACUUUGGAAAGAGAGUUAAACAGUACGUGAAAUUGCUGAAAGGGAAACGCUUGAAGUCAGUCGUGUCGUUUGGAACUCAGCCUUGCUUUCGCUUGGUGCACUUUCCGGAUGACGGGUCAGCAUCGAUUUUGACCGUCGGAUAAGGGCUGGAGUAAUGUGGCACCUCCGGGUGUGUUAUAGACUCUGGUCGCAUGCGGCGGUUGGGAUCGAGGAACGCAGCGCGCCGCAAGGCAGGGGUUCGCCCACUUUCGCGCUUAGGAUGCUGGCAUAAUGGCUUUAAGCGACCCGUCUUGAAACACGGACCAAGGAGUCUAACAUACCUGCGAGUGUUUGGGUGGAAAACCCGAGCGCGUAAUGAAAGUGAAAGUUGAGACCCCUAUCGUGGGGGGCAUCGACGCCCGGACCUGACGUUCUCUGACGGUUCCGCGGUAGAGCAUGUGUGUUGGGACCCGAAAGAUGGUGAACUAUGCCUGAAUAGGGUGAAGCCAGAGGAAACUCUGGUGGAGCUCGUAGCGAUUCUGACGUGCAAAUCGAUCGUCAAUUUGGGUAUAGGGGCGAAA